GACGAACGCUGGCGGCGUGCCUAAUACAUGCAAGUAGAACGCACAGUUUAUACCGUAGCUUGCUACACCAUAAACUGUGAGUUGCGAACGGGUGAGUAACGCGUAGGUAACCUGCCUGGUAGCGGGGGAUAACUAUUGGAAACGAUAGCUAAUACCGCAUAAUAUUGAUUAUUGCAUGAUAAUUGAUUGAAAGAUGCUAUUGCAUCACUACCAGAUGGACCUGCGUUGUAUUAGCUAGUAGGUGAGGUAACGGCUCACCUAGGCGACGAUACAUAGCCGACCUGAGAGGGUGAUCGGCCACACUGGGACUGAGACACGGCCCAGACUCCUACGGGAGGCAGCAGUAGGGAAUCUUCGGCAAUGGACGAAAGUCUGACCGAGCAACGCCGCGUGAGUGAAGAAGGUUUUCGGGUCGUAAAGCUCUGUUGUGAGAGAAGAACGGGUGUGAGAGUGGAAAGUUCACACUGUGACGGUAUCUUACCAGAAAGGGACGGCUAACUACGUG
rnacentral:rRNA from 1 species